rnacentral:rRNA from 1 species
CCUACGGGAGGCUGCAGUGGGGAAUAUUGGACAAUGGGGGCAACCCUGAUCCAGCCAUGCCGCGUGUGUGAAGAAGGCCCUCGGGUUGUAAAGCACUUUCAGUGAGGAAGAACGCCUGGUGGUUAAUACCCAUCAGGAAAGACAUCACUCACAGAAGAAGCACCGGCUAACUCCGUGCCAGCAGCCGCGGUAAUACGGAGGGUGCGAGCGUUAAUCGGAAUUACUGGGCGUAAAGCGCGCGUAGGUGGCUUGAUAAGCCGGUUGUGAAAGCCCCGGGCUCAACCUGGGAACGGCAUCCGGAACUGUCGAGCUAGAGUGCAGGAGAGGAAGGUAGAAUUCCCGGUGUAGCGGUGAAAUGCGUAGAGAUAGGGAGGAAUACCAGUGGCGAAGGCGGCCUUCUGGACUGACACUGACACUGAGGUGCGAAAGCGUGGGUAGCAAACAGGAUUAGAUACCCUUGUAGUC